CCUACGGGGGGCAGCAGUGAGGAAUAUUGGUCAAUGGGCGGAAGCCUGAACCAGCCAAGUCGCGUGAGGGAUUAAGGCCCUGCGGGUCGUAAACCUCUUUUGCCGGGGAGCAGAGGUCCGGACGUGUCCGGGCCGGGAGAGUACCCGGAGAAAAAGCAUCGGCUAACUCCGUGCCAGCAGCCGCGGUAAUACGGGGGGUGCGAGCGUUAUCCGGUUUUAUUGGGGUUAAAGGGUGCGUAGGCGGGCAUUUAAGCCGGCGGUCAAAUGUCGGGGCUCAAACCCGGCCUGCAGUCGGAACUGGGGGCCUUGAGUGGGCGAGAAGGAUGCGGAAUGCGUGGUGUAGCGGUGAAAUGCAUAGAUAUCACGCAGAACCCCGAUUGCGAAGGCAGGAGACCGGCGCCCUACUGACGCUGAGGCACGAAAGUGCGGGUAUCGAACAGGAUUAGAUACCCCUGUAGUC
rnacentral:rRNA from 1 species